rnacentral:lncRNA from 1 species
GCAAUUCUGCUGAAAACAGCGUCAGUCCGGGUUAGUUCCAUUCAAAUCAUGCAAGUUAGAGUCCAAAACAAGGGCAGAUGUGUUUGGAAAAGUAGAUACGUUGGAGACGUAUCAGACAUUGGCAAGCGGUUUCUCAGUUGCCCCUUAGAGGUUAGUGCUAAGUUCAUCAGUUUACUUCAGUUAAUGCCACCGCUCAUCCUGAAUACUUUAACAUUGGCAGGGAUAUGAGUUUUGUGCCUUUUUAACUGGGCUCGGAGUGUUAUCACCAAGCUCGCAGAAGAUAACGUAAAGCUGAAGAAGAAACUGGCUGAUCUGGAAUGUACAAUUAGUACGAUGAAGCAAGAAAGAAUCAAUCACAGGCAACAGAUGAAAGCAAGAGACAAGAAGAAACUAGCAUGUGUAGUUCUGGUUGUCGCAUUAGCCAUGUUCUAUGCGCUGUUUGCAAUCAUGAUUAGGGGUUUUGUUUGACAGUAUUGCUAAAGCACAUCUAGAUGUGCUCUAAGUAAUGCACAUCUAGGUCCUAUGCCAUAGAUGUUACGUGAAGAUUCGUGCAGAUAUUUUCCUUUGUCUUUUUUUUCUUUUCCUUUGUAGAUUGAUUAUUACUUGUUUUAUCAAUAAGAAGAUCUCAAU